rnacentral:rRNA from 1 species
AUUGAACGCUGGCGGCAUGCUUUACACAUGCAAGUCGAACGGCAGCGCGGGCUUCGGUCUGGCGGCGAGUGGCGAACGGGUGAGUAAUGCAUCGGAACGUGCCCAGUAGCGGGGGAUGGGCCGGCGAAAGCCGGAUUAAUACCCCAUACGACCUGAGGGUGAAAGCGGGGGACCGAAAGGCCUCGCGCUAUUGGAGCGGCCGAUGUCGGAUUAGCUAGUUGGUGGGGUAACGGGUUACCAAGGCAACGAGCCGUAGCUGGUCUGAGAGGACGACCAGCCACACGCGGACUGAGACACGGCCCAGACACCUACGGGAGGCAGCAGUGGGGAAUUUUGGACAAAGGGGGCAACCCUGAUCCAGCCAUGCCGCGUGCGGGAAGAAGGCCUUCGGGUUGUAAACCGCUUUUGUUCGGGAAGAAAUCCUCUGGGCUACUACCCCGGGGGGAUGACGGUACCGGAAGAAUAAGCACCGGCUAACUACGU